UGUAUUAAAUUAUUAUUCUGUGUUACCAACAUGCAGAAUGUUAAUUUGCAAGAUUUAACCCACCAUCCAAAUGUAAGAUGAAAUCCAUAAUUCAUGAUGCCACCUGAAACCAUUUUGAUGUCAUUUAUCCCAUGUGCCUCUGUUAACCAAAUUGAUGUCCAUGAUUGGAUGACCUACCAUGCUCUUCCUACUAUUUCUGGAAGCCUUGUUCAUGCUUGUGGUCUUUCUUACUGUAGAUAUGACAUUGAUGUCCAUAUCCAUGGAGAUCUUCUGCUACCGGAAACCCUAUUGAUGCAAGAGUUCUGUGCUGCCAACAUGAUGAAUGUUAAUUGCCAUGAUCUCAGCUACCAUCUGAAACUAUUGAUACUUACAUGCUACCACCUACAACCUUGUUGAUGACAUUGAUGCCUGCUGUCCUCUUUAUCAUGUUCAUGAACCUUUCUGUGCUAUUCCUUUUGGUUUGAAGUUCAUGUUGAUGCCUUAUGGUUAUGUUUUGCUCCUGGAUAAGAUGUUGAUGUUAAUGGUCUGACCUGCCACCUGAGACCAUGCUGAGGUAAGUUUUCUGUGUUGCCAACAUGAAGAAUAUUGAUUUCCAUGAGUUGAUCUGCCAUUGGAACUUAAGUUGAUAUCUGUAAUUCAUUCUGUCCCUGGAACCAUGUUGAUACCACUGAUUCUUGCUUCUUUUGUUUAUCAUGUUAAUUACCACGAUCUGACCCACCAUGCUGUCCCUACUGCUUCUGGAAGCCAUGUUGAUGCCUGUGGUUCUUGGUGCUCAGGGAUAUGAUCUUGAUGUCAAUGUUCUGUUCUGACUCCUGAAUCCAUGCUGAGGCCACCACAUUGAUGUCACUGAUCCUUGCUGCAUGUUUUAACUAUGUUGAUAUCCAUGAGCCAACCCUCCAUUCAAAACUAUGUUGAUGUUAUGGAUCCUUCCUACUUCUGGGAGCCAUGGCGAUGCCUGAGGUCCUUGUUGCCCCUGGAUGCGAUGUUGAUGUCCAUGUUCUGUCCUUCCACCUGAGACCACAUUGAGGAAAUCAUAUUGAUGUCACUGUUCUUUGCUGCAUCUUCUAACCAUGUUGAUGUUCAUCAUCCAACCUACCAUCCAAAACUUUGUUGAUGUUACUGAUCUAUGUUGUAGCUGUCAACCAUGUUGAGGUUACUGAACUUUGCUACCACCUGUAACCAUAUUGAUGUCUGCAGUGUGCAGUGUCAUCAGAAACAAUGUUGAAGUCAUUCGUCCAUACUGCUACCUGAGACCCAGUUCAAGUAAGUUUCCUGUGCCACUCAUGUGUACAAUAUUGAUUUCCAUGAUCUGUCUGCCACCUGAAACCAAGUUGAUAUCCAUGAUCUAUACUGACACAGGCAACCAUGUUGGUAUGACUUAUUCUCACUGCCUGUCUUAACCUUGCUGAUAUCCAUGAUUCGACCUGUCACCUGAAACUUUGUUGAUGUCACUGAUCUUUGCUAUUGCUGUCAACCAUGUUGAUGCUACUGAAACUUGCUUCCACUUGUAACCAUACUGCUGUCUGUAGUCUGUUAUCAUCUGAGACAAUGCUGAAAUCAGUGGUGCAUACUACCACCUGAGACCCACUUCAGGUAAGUGUCUUAUGUUGGCAAUGUAUACAAUGUUGAUUUCUGUGAUUUGUCUGCCACCUGAAACUAAGAUGAUGUACAUGAUCUGCCACAGGAAACCAACCUUGUUGAUGUCACUGAUCUUUGUUCCCUGUUUUGAUCAUGUGGAUGUCCAUUAUCUGACUUAACAUCUGAAAUUAUGUUGAUGUCACUCAUUCAUGCUGCCGCUGAUAACCAUGUUUAUGGCCAUAGUCUUUGUUGGAAUCUUAGACCUUGUGGAUGUCCAUUGUCCAUGUUGCCACCUGAAUCCAUAAUGAUGUCCAUGAUGAUUGUAGUCUGUGCUGCUGCUGGGGAUUAGAUCAAUAUAAAUGAUCUGAGCUGUCAACAGAAACUAUUUUGAUAUCAUUAAGCCAUCCUGGUGCUGGAGACCAUGUUGACAUCUUUGUCCUUGCUGCCACCAAAAACUAUGUUUAUGUUCAUGCUCUGGACUGCAUGCUGAAGGCCAGUUGAAUAUCCAUGACCCAGAUGCUGAUGGAGAAUGUGUCAUGUCUGUGGUUAGCACUGCCACAAGAAGGCAUCCUGAUAGUGAUCUGUGAUGCCUCCCGCAUACAUGAUAUGUUGGUGAUCUGUGUUGAUGUCAUGGACCAGAUGGAUGUCAGUUAUCCAAGCUGUCACCAGAAAUCUUGUGGACAAUGAUCUGUGCUGCUGCUGGAAAACCUGUAGAAGUCUAUGAUCCAUUCUGCUACUGGAAACCAUGUGGAAGUCCGUGAUCUGUGCUUCCACUGACUUCUACUGGCAGGGAGCUUCUUUUGCGGUGGUAUCAAUGACUGUAGAAUCACAACUGAAAUUCAGACAGACAUUGAAGGCUUCUGUGCCACCAUCCCCCCAAAAAAGAAAAUCCAGACAGGAUAUUAUUGGAGAAUCCUUGAAAGUUGUAAUAAAAAUACUAUAUGUAACUCUUCAUAGUUGAUGGCUUCAGGCAGGGGUUGGGGAAGAACUCCUUUUUAAGGGGCUGGCCACUGCAAGUUUGACCAUGCUCCAAUGAGUAUAAGGGUAACACAGAUUGGACUUGUUAUAUUGU